GAAUCCCUGCUGUGUACGUGAGAAGCCGGAAAAGUUUUUCCAACACCAACACUUAGGGAGCCUGAACUCCGCGUAAGGCCUGCAUGCCCUGUAUGGGGACACAUCAAUUGCGCGGGAAGGCACCCACCUGCAAAGCAGGUUAAACCCACGGCGACCACGGCUCGGUGGGGUGUUU
rnacentral:other from 1 species